GAUGAACGCUGGCGGCGUGCUUAACACAUGCAAGUCGAACGAAGCACUUUAUUUGAUUUCCUUCGGGACUGAUUAUUUUGUGACUGAGUGGCGGACGGGUGAGUAACGCGUGGGUAACCUGCCUUGUACAGGGGGAUAACAGUUGGAAACGGCUGCUAAUACCGCAUAAGCGCACAGCAUCGCAUGCUGCAGUGUGAAAAACUCCGGUGGUAUAAGAUGGACCCGCGUUGGAUUAGCUAGUUGGUGAGGUAACGGCCCACCAAGGCGACGAUCCAUAGCCGACCGGAGAGGGUGACCGGACACAUUGGGACUGAGACACGGCCCAAACUACUAGGGGAGGCAGCAGUGGGGAAUAUUGCACAAUGAGCGAAAGCCUGAUGCAGCGACGCCGCGAGAGCGAAGAAGGAUUUCGGUAUGUAAAGCUCUAUCAGCAGGGAAGAUAAGGACGGUACCUGACUAAGAAGCACCGGCUAAAUACGU
rnacentral:rRNA from 1 species